rnacentral:rRNA from 1 species
AGGGCACCACCAGGAGUGGAGCCUGCGGCUUAAUUUGACUCAACACGGGAAAACUUACCCGGCCCGGACACUGGAUGGAUUGACAGAUUGAGAGCUCUUACUUGAUUCAGUGGGUGGUGGUGCAUGGCCGUUCUUAGUUGGUGGAGCGAUUUGUCUGGUUAAUUCCGAUAACGAACGAGACUCUAGCCUACUAAAUAGACUACCGUUCCUUUGUGACGGUAGGGCUUCUUAGAGGGACAGGCGGCGACUCAGCCGCACGAAACAGAGCAAUAACAGGUCUGUGAUGCCCUUAGAUGUCCGGGGCCGCACGCGCGCUACACUGAAGUGAUCAGCGUGCAUUAAUAACCCUCUCUGUCAAGAGUGGGUAACCCAUUGAACCUUCUUCGUGAUUGGGAUAGGGUAUUGUAAUUCUUACCCUUGAACGAGGAAUUCCCAGUAAGCGCGAGUCAUAAGCUUGCGUUGAUUACGUCCCUGCCCUUUGUACACACCCCGCCGUCGCUACUACCGAUUGAAUGAUGU